rnacentral:rRNA from 1 species
UAAUUAAGCGGAGGAAAAGAAACUAACAAGGAUUCCCUCAGUAAGGGCGACUGAAGGGGGAAGAGCUCAACAUGUGAAUCUGCGCCUUGGCGCCGAAUUGUGGUCUGUCGACUCUGGUGUUAUUGGCCCGGCUAAGUCCCUUGGAACAGGGCAGCAUAGAGGGUGAGACUCCCGUCCGCCUGGCCUUUUGAAUCAGAUGUCUACGAGUCGAGUUGUUUGGGAUUGCAGCUCAAAGCGGGUGGUAAAUUCCAUCUAAAGCUAAAUAUUGGUGGGAGACCGAUAGCGUACAAGUACCGUGAGGGAAAGAUGCAAAGAACUUUGAAAAGAGAGUUAAAGAGUACCUGAAAUUGCUGAAAGGGAAGCGAAGGAAAUCAGUGCUUGCUGAGUCAUAUUUCUCACUCUGCUUGCAGAGUGGGCGCUGUGUCUUGGCGUGUGUCAGGCUUGGUUGGGCUUGUUGGAAUCGCGUGGUGAGAGUUGAUCACUGCAUGUCUGCAACGAGCUUGACUGAGGUUGACAAAAUGGUUUUCUUUACCCCG